rnacentral:tRNA from 1 species
GCGGGUAUAGCUCAGUGGUAGAGCACACGCUUAGCAUGCAUGAGGUCUUGGGUUCAAUCCUCAGUACCUCCA